rnacentral:rRNA from 1 species
AAUGAACGCUGGCGGCAGGCCUAACACAUGCAAGUCGAACGGGUCCUUCGGGACUAGUGGCGGACGGGUGAGUAACGCGUGGGAACAUGCCCUUUGGUACGGAAUAGCCUCGGGAAACUGGGAGUAAUACCGUAUGUGGUCGAGAGACGAAAGAUUUAUCGCCAAAGGAUUGGCCCGCGUUGGAUUAGGUAGUUGGUGGGGUAAUGGCCUACCAAGCCGACGAUCCAAAGCUGGUUUGAGAGGAUGAUCAGCCACACUGGGACUGAGACACGGCCCAGACUCCUACGUGAGGCAGCAGUGGGGAAUCUUAGACAAUGGGGGAAACCCUGAUCUAGCCAUGCCGCGUGAUCGAUGAAGGCCUUAGGGUUGUAAAGAUCUUUCAGGUGGGAAGAUAAUGACUGUACCACCAGAAGAAGCCCCGGCUAACUCCGUGCCAGCCGCCGCAGUAAGAC